rnacentral:rRNA from 1 species
CCUACGGGAGACAGCAGUGGGGGAUAUUGCACAAUGGGGGGAACCCUGAUGCAGCGACGCCGCGUGGGUGAAGGAGCGUUUCGGCGCGUAAAGCUCUAUCAGCAGGGAAGAAAGUGACGGUACCUGAAAAAGAAGCUCCGGCUAAAUACGUGCCAGCAGCCGCGGUAAUACGUAUGGAGCAAGCGUUAUCCGGAUUUACUGGGUGUAAAGGGAGAGUAGGUGGCAGAGCAAGUCCGAAGUGAAAACCCAAAGCUCAACUAUGGGAAUGCUUUAGAAACUGCUCAGCUAGAGUGCAGGAGAGGCAAGUGGAAUUCUUAGUGUAGCGGUGAAAUGCGUAGAUAUUAGGAGGAACACCAGUGGCGAAGGCGGCUUGCUGGACUGUAACUGACACUGAGGCUCGAAAGCGUGGGGAGCAAACAGGAUUAGAUACCCGAGUAGUC